rnacentral:lncRNA from 10 species
GCUCAGAUCUGGAAAUGACUCGAGGUCGUCCUCCGGUGUGGGAACCCGGUUGGGCUGGUUGAAGCCUAGGCAGAAGACGUCUGCCUGCUUUUGAGCCAAAGCAGGGAAGAGGCAGUGAGCCAUUUCCAUUUACGUCUUCCCUGUUGAAGGAUAUUAGAGGCCCUGGGUUGCGGAGGAACUGCAAGAGGGAAGGGGAUGUUGACCCAGCUUGGAUUUUGUGUGAGUAAGGAGUAAGCCCUUAUCAUGUUAAACCAUGAAGAUUUGGGGGUGUCCUUGUUGCUACAGCCUUGCCUAGUCCGGCCUGACCGAUACAGAGCCUGAAGACUCGGACAUGACCACUACACAUUCCUGGAGCUUCACCUGAGCAGAUUCCACGGACAUACCCCCUGAGCCUGAGCUUGUGCAUGUGCGCGUGCACACCCUGGCAGACAGCCCUCUCCAGGAAACCGUGUGGGCCUCUUCAUCAUCAGGCAGAAAGUCUUCAGCCCUCUAAUUGCCGUCCUCGCUAACUCCCUGGCUGGCUGCCCAGCCUGAGCCCCUGGAGGAGAAAUGACUCCAAAUUCAGAGCAUAAACUCUGUGGCUGAUGUAUUAGAAUGUUCAGCGCAAGAAUUCAGAUGCCCACAAGUUAGGAUUUCAGAAUCCCGGUUCCCACAGCAACCGUCCCAGUGCUCCUGCGUAGUUUUCAAUGUUACUACAUGGGGUGGGGGAGGGGGAUUGAAUGAUGGCUGCAGUGUGUAUGACUGUGAGGUGUGUGCAUAUGAGUGUGUGUGAGGGACUGUGUGCAUAUGUGAUUACGACUGUGUGUGUGAAUGUGAUGUGUGUGGGGCAGGGGGGCUUUAGCUCUGCUCUGUAUCAUCUCUCUCUCUGGGUCUGGAAAACCACUUUCUCAUGCAUAAAGACAAAAAUGUGUUCUCCUAGAUCAGAAAACCCUAGAGGGCAGGGCCCAUGGCUGGGUCAGCCCUGUGUCCCCCACAGUGUCCAAGGCAAUGUUUGUUGAUUGACUGAAUGAAUGAGCAGCAGCUGCCAGCUCCAAGGCAGCUGGUUGAAAGCGGAUAACCUCGAGGGCUUUAUUUUUGUGUCAAGCAUUCUCCCAUCCCCUAUCCCAAGAAGGGAACCUGGCUUCUCUGUUCUCUGACUUCUGUGCUACAGGAACAAAAGCAGAAAUUACCUGGAACCGUCUUUCCAUCCAGGCCUCAUUUCACAGAGGGCCGAAUGGAAGAUCAGCGUUUCUCAGACAUCAUUAUCACCUUUUUUGUUUUGAGACAGUGUCUCGCUCUGUCGCCCAGGCUGGAGUGCAGUGGCACAAUCUCGGCUCACUGCAACCUCCACCUCCUGGGUUCAAGCGAUUCUCGUGCCUCAGUUUCCCGAGUAGCUAGGACUACAGGCGCUUGCCACGAUGCUGGCUAAUUUUUGUAUAUUUUUUGUAGAGACGGGGUUUUCCCAUGUUGCCCAGGCUGGUCUCAAAUUCCUGAGCUCAAGUGAUCUGCCCACCUCAGCCUCCCAAAUUGUUGGGAUUACAGGCGUGAGCCACCACACCCGGCCCAUUGUUACCACUUUUGCCUGGCCCUGUGCCUCACACUUUUCUUUAAAUUGGUUCACUUUUUUGCUGCAAUAAAUUUAUUUGAAAAGGAGCCUGCUAUGGUUUGAAUGUGUUCCAAGGUUCAUGUGUUGGAAAUUUAAUCCCCCAAUGACCUGUGUUGAGAAGUUGGAUGUUUAAGAAUUGAUUAGGGCUGGGCGUGGUGGCUCACGCCUGUAAGCCCAACACUUUGGGAGGCCAAGGCGUGUGGAUUACCUGAGGUCAGGAGUCCGAGACCAGCCUGGCCAACAUGGUGAAACCCUGUCUCUACUACAAAUACAAAAAUUAGUCGGGUGUGGUGGCACAUGCCUGUAAUCCCAGCUACUCCGGAGGCUGAGGCAGGAGAAUUGCUUGAGCCUGGGAGGUGGAGGUUGCAGUGAGCUGAGAUUGCGCCACUGCCCUCCAGCCUGGCCAACAGAGCGAGACUGUGUCUCAAAAAAGAAAAGAAAAGAAAAGAAAAGAGUUGAUUAGGUCAUGAGGAGUCUGCCUUCAUGAACGGAUUAAUGCUGUUAUCACAGGGGUGUGUUGGUUAUUGCAGAAGUGGUUUUGUCGUAAAAGUGAGAGUUCCACCGUCCCUCGCUCUGUCUCUCGUGCACUCUCU